rnacentral:rRNA from 1 species
UACGGAGGGUGCGAGCGUUGUCCGGAAUCACUGGGCGUAAAGGGCGCGUAGGUGGCCCGUUAAGUGGUCGGUGAAAUCCUGGAGCUCAACUCCAGAACUGCCUUUGAUACUGAGAAGCUUGAGUCCGGGAGAGGUGAGUGGAACUGCGAGUGUAGAGGUGAAAUUCGUAGAUAUUCGCAAGAACACCAGUGGCGAAGGCGGCUCACUGGCCCGGUACUGACGCUGAGGUGCGAAAGCGUGGGGAGCAAACAGG